rnacentral:rRNA from 1 species
AAUGAACGCUGGCGGCAGGCCUAACACAUGCAAGUCGAACGCCCCGCAAGGGGAGUGGCGCACGGGUGAGUAACGCGUGGGAAUAUGCCCUUCGGUUCGGAAUAACACAGGGAAACUUGUGCUAAUACCGGAUACGAUCUACGGAUGAAAGAUUUAUCGCCGAGGGAGUAGCCCGCGUAGGAUUAGCUAGUUGGUGAGGUAAUGGCUCACCAAGGCGACGAUCCUUAGCUGGUCUGAGAGGAUGAUCAGCCACACUGGGACUGAGACACGGCCCAGACUCCUACGGGAGGCAGCAGUGGGGAAUAUUGCACAAUGGGCGCAAGCCUGAUGCAGCAACGCCGCGUGAGUGAAGAAGGCCUUCGGGUCGUAAAGCUCUGUCCUCUGGGACGAAUAAAGUGACGGUACCAGAGGAGGAGGCCCCGGCUAACUACGUGCCAGCCGCCGCCGUAACAC